CAGCAGCUAAAAAUAACGGAGAGCAACUGCACCCCAACCCCAACCAGCAGCUCCCUGAGGCCCUCCACCCUUAAGUUUUUGUCAGUUCCAGUCUCCAGCCGAAGGCCUCAUAGAAGUUAAGUGAACCAUAGCCGCCCAGUCCUCCCGGGAAGACGGUAAGGAUAGGCAGUGGCAGGCUCAGGGCCCACGACUCAGGGGAUAGGGGCUUUAGGGUCUGGGAUUAGGUCCUGGCAUUCCGGCGGUUACACGACUGCUGCGGAAAGCCUGGGAGCUGAGAAGAUGAGGCCCCGGGGGCUGGACAGCCUGGAGAUUGUCAGGAUUGGGUCGGAAGGGGAGGGGAGUUAGAGGCUGCUGGGCUGCGAGGCUGGACGCCUGGGAAGGGGCAGAAAAGUAGGGCUGCGGGGCGGAGGUGCGCGCUGAGAGGUGAGAGCCUGGCAGUACCUGACAGGCUGAGCGCCCCGGAGGUGAGGCCGGCGGUCGGUCAGAUAGAGGGACGGAUCGGGAACAGGGAAAAACUAAGGAAAUGCAGCUUGAAAAGGUAGUGUGUGAGGGAGACCUGGCCGUUGCAAGGCGGCGUGGAAACCCGAGGAGACUGGGACCAGACAGCAGCCGUGGCGUUGGCUCCCGGUCCCUUGAGCGCCGCCGCCCCGCAGGCCAGCCAUUUUGACAGGUAUAAGGUGAUAUCUCAUUGUGGUUUGAUCUGCAUUUCCCUGUUUAUAAGAAAGCCACUGAUUUCUGCACAUUGACUUUGUAUCCUGCCACGUUGCUGAAUUGCUGUAUGAGUUCUAGUAGUUUGGGGGUGGAGUCUUUUGGGUUUUCCAUAUAAAGAAUCAUGUCAUCUGCGAAGAGAGAGAGUUUGACUUUGAUAUCAGCCACAACAACUUCUUUCAAGAUAUGUCUCCAAAGGCAAAGGAAACAAAAGCGAAAAUAAACUUUUGGGACUUCAUCAAAAUCAAAAGCUUCUGCACAGCAAAGGAAACAGUCAAAAAAACAAAGAGGCAACCCACGGAAUGGGAGAAGAUAUUUGCAAAUGACAGUACAGACAAAAGGUUGAUAUCCAGGAUCUGUAAUGAACUCCUCAAACUCAACACACACGAAACAGGCAAACAUAUCAAAAAAUGGGAAGAAGAUAUGAACAGACACUUCUCCAAUCAAGACAUACAAAUGGCUAUCAGACACAUGAAAAAAUGUUCAUCAUCGCUAGCCCUCAGGGAGAUUCAAAUUAAAACCACAUUGAGAUAUCACCUUACACCAGUUAGAAUGGCCAAAAUUAACAAAACAGUAAACAACAUGUGCUGGAGAGGAUGUGGAGAAAGGGGAACCCUCUUACACUGUUGGUGGGAAUGCAAGUUGGUGCAGCCUCUUUGGAGAACAGUGUGGAGAUUCCUCAAGAAAUUAAAAAUAGA